rnacentral:rRNA from 1 species
UACGGGGGGGGCAAGCGUUGUUCGGAAUUACUGGGCGUAAAGGGCUCGUAGGCGGCCAACUAAGUCAUACGUGAAAUCCCUCGGCUUAACCGGGGAACUGCGUCUGAUACUGGAUGGCUUGAGUUCGGGAGAGGGAUGCGGAAUUCCAGGUGUAGCGGUGAAAUGCGUAGAUAUCUGGAGGAACACCGGUGGCGAAGGCAGCUCGCUGGGACGGUACUGACGCUAAGGCGCGAAAGCGUGGGGAGCGAACAGG